UACGGAGGGAGCUAGCGUUGUUCGGAAUUACUGGGCGUAAAGCGCACGUAGGCGGCUCAGCAAGUCAGGGGUGAAAUCCCGGGGCUCAACCCCGGAACUGCCCUUGAAACUGCUAAGCUAGAAUCUUGGAGAGGCGAGUGGAAUUCCGAGUGUAGAGGUGAAAUUCGUAGAUAUUCGGAAGAACACCAGUGGCGAAGGCGACUCGCUGGACAAGUAUUGACGCUGAGGUGCGAAAGCGUGGGGAGCAAACAGGG
rnacentral:rRNA from 1 species